ensembl:lncRNA
UUGGCUAUUAGUAAUAUAUGAGCACCGGUAACAUAAGAUUAGCAUUUUUAUUGCAGGAUUUUUAUUGCACUAUUUUACUUUUGGUGAAUAAAAAACGAAAACUAUUUCUUUUGAUAAUAUUGCUGUGUAAGACUUUAAACAUCCAGCUGCAGAGGUGCCGGAUCCACAUAAAAAGGUACCGAAACACAGGUGUGCUAUACUUUGGAGGUGUCAGAAUCUUAUCCGGGAUGAAUCGGCUCAAAUUAAGCUCUGGUGAACAGUAGAAAUGAUAAUAACACAUUACAUGUUUGAAUCUCUUGUCUAAUGUCUAUCACAGUGGCUGUUGAUCUGCUGCCUGAAUGUGUCUGAAUGUGUCUGAGUUCUAACCAGUGCAAUAGCGCAAAGCAAAUAAACAACAAUUUUAAUAGAUUUCCAAUUAAAAUUACCAUUUAAAAUACUUGUAAGCUGUUAGAUUUGACACUUCCUUUCCUUCCAAUUUUCCUGCAUUUGUAUCUUUCAAAAUACUAAAAAAUUGGAAGUGAAAUUACUGACCAUUUUUGACUGAAAAUCUUCGCAGCAUCCCUAAUAAGUGUAGACCAUCCAUCCAUCCAUCUUCUACUACUUACUCCUUCUUCAGGUAAGCGGUAGAAGAUGGAUGGAUGGAUGGAUAAUUUUAUGUGCUGUUAGUGUAUGAAGAUAUCUAUAAAAUCAGAACAAUCUGUAAUGGGCCAGUUUCCCCAUGUGCCAGGUUGUUUGGUUGUUUGUUUUUGUUCUGGAGUAUCUUUAAGAAGAUCUUUCCUACAACUUAAGGCACCCACCAUCAACUUACAAUGUUAUUGGUUCAAUCCCCACAUAUUGAGUAAAGCAUAGCGUUUAAAUUUGCAAAAAUAAAAUAAAUAAAUCUUUGAUCUCCAUGUAAAAUAUAUAUGUUGGGUUUUUUUUUUCAUUGUACAGUAAGUCUGAUCAUUGCUUUUUGUUUUAGGUCCAUCAGCCAAAAAAGCCGAAGCUCAAAUUCAACUUAAUGUUUUCAAUGCAUUUACUUCCUACUUUCUAAUAAAAAUUCAUGGCUUUGCAGCUAUUGGCACUUUGUUACAGCUAUUGGCCUCGAUCUUUUGGCUGCUCCAAUUCAGGGUCACAGCAGACCACCCAUAUUCAUAUUUUGAUUCUGGCACAACUUUUAUGCCGGAUGCCCUUCCUGAUACAACCCUCCCCAUUUUCCAGGCUUGGGACCAGCAGUGAGAGUGUGCUGGCUCGUGC